rnacentral:siRNA from 1 species
AUUUUGAUGAUGCUGCAU